rnacentral:rRNA from 1 species
UACGAAGGGGGCUAGCGUUGUUCGGAAUUACUGGGCGUAAAGGGCUCGUAGGUGGCCAACUAAGUCGGACGUGAAAUCCCUCGGCUUAACCGGGGAACUGCGUCUGAUACUGGAUGGCUUGAGUUCGGGAGAGGGAUGCGGAAUUCCAGGUGUAGCGGUGAAAUGCGUAGAUAUCUGGAGGAACACCGGUGGCGAAGGCGGCAUCCUGGACCGACACUGACGCUGAGGAGCGAAAGCCAGGGGAGCAAACGGGG